AAAGAACUAGACCUGAAGGGUGGAGCUUGUAGGAAGAAGACAGUAGUUCAACAUAAGCAGUAUAAAAAGAAGGGCUGCUGUGAUAGGUAAUGAGCUACCAGUCAGUGGACGUGUUUUUGGUUUGGCAGCUGCAGUCUAGGAAUGAGCAGAUGGUCUACAUCCUGGGGACGAGAUUGGAAGAGAUGAGAACCAAAGCCCCUCCCAGCCCAGGCAGUCAAUCUGAACACACUUCUCCAGACCUGCUGUUGCAAAGCAGUGUGCCGAAUCAACAGGAGAUGCAUGUUAAAUAAAACCCGACCCAGCCUCUCAAAAGUUUACAGUGAGAUUCUCAGGUUUUCCAAUAUCAUCUUCAUAGAGUUCCUGGAGGAAUUUAAGAAAGUACAGUGAAGAUUCAUUCCUUUCAUCUCCUAAGGACUCUCGUAAUUACUAUUGCUCUGAACCCAGCGGGCAAGAUGCACAUUUCUCUGUCCAGGAAAUGACAGCAGCAGUGUGGUACCCUCUUCUCACUUCGGGGAAAGACUGUGUAUCUGCAUAUUGAGCCUGUCCAGAGUCCGUGUCAGAGCCGGAUUUCCUGGACUGUGAACUGAUCAUGCAGAAAUAUUCAGAGCAAUGAAGGACACUGCAGGGCCCUGUACAACCUCAUCAUCCAGGAUUAAAGAGUCAGUCGAUAUCACAUAUUCAGCACUAUACUAGGCACUGUGGAAAAUAACAAUGAUGUCAGCAACAACAAUAAUAGUAAUGACAAUGAAUGUUUAUUGAGCACCUACUGUAUGCCAGGCACUCAACUAGAUACUUUUCCUAGAUUAUUUCUGAGUCUUCCAAAAAUUGGAUAAAGUGGUUGUCAUUCCCUCUGUUUUAUACACAAAUAAAUGAAGACUUAAAGAAGUUAGAUAAGUUCUCAAAGUUCUACAAGUAGUGAGAAUAAGGACCUAUAUAUGAUAAUUUCCUUGUCCUUGAAGAGUUUUAGGAAACACCAUCUCCCAUCUGUUAUCCAAGAAUAUUCUCUUGCUUCUAGUCUCACAUCAACAUUCAUUCAGUCAAUAAGUUUUUAUAUAGCGCUUAGUAUGUGUAUCUGCAAAUACCACCUUGACAACAGAGAGAAAAUACACAGAACAAUUAUUCACUCAAAGCUGGGAAAUGUAAUGAAAGGUCAGAGACAGAAAUCAGUGUGGGCUGGAGAAGUAGGGAAAGGUUUUAUGGAGGAGUGGGACUGGGGUUGGGUCUUGCAGGAUAAAAGAAUUAUUCAAAGAGCAUUCCUGGCCAGGCGAACAGGAUAGGCAAUGGCACUGGGGCAUGAAUAAGCAUGACAGGGGGAAGUACAUUGGGAGGACACAGAAAUGUCAUAAGUGGAAGAAAGAAACUAUUCAGAUGCCCUAUGGGGAUUGGACAAGAGGAUGGCAUUCAUCUAGGAAUUUAUUUGGGCUAUUGCAAAUGAUAAUCCAACGCUUCAAGUUUCUUAUUACCUGAAGAUAUGGAGUACAUAAAAAUGAUGAAUGAAAACAAACAAUAUUAUUUUGCAGUAACAUUUAAAUUACUAACUCUUCUAUAAGAGAAGCAGUCUACCAAGUUAAGGAGUGGUUAGGAAGAUUAGGAAAGUGUUUCUGUCCCUCACUGAGAAUUAAACUUUGUUUGUUUGUUUGUUUGUUUGUUUGAGAUGCAGUCUUGCUCUGUCUCUCAGGCUGGAGUGCAGUGGCG
rnacentral:lncRNA from 10 species